GAUGAACGCUGGCGGCGUGUCUAAUACAUGCAAGUCGAGCGAACAGACGAGGAGCUUGCUCCUCUGACGUUAGCGGCGGACGGGUGAGUAACACGUGGAUAACCUACCUAUAAGACUGGGAUAACUUCGGGAAACCGGAGCUAAUACCGGAUAAUAUAUUGAACCGCAUGGUUCAAUAGUGAAAGACGGUUUUGCUGUCACUUAUAGAUGGAUCCGCGCCGCAUUAGCUAGUUGGUAAGGUAACAGCUUACCAAGGCAACGAUGCGUAGCCGACCUGAGAGGGUGAUCGGCCACACUGGAACUGAGACACGGUCCAGACUCCUACGGGAGGCAGCAGUAGGGAAUCUUCCGCAAUGGGCGAAAGCCUGACGGAGCAACGCCGCGUGAGUGAUGAAGGUCUUCGGAUCGUAAAACUCUGUUAUUAGGGAAGAACAAAUGUGUAAGUAACUAUGCACGUCUUGACGGUACCUAAUCAGAAAGCCACGGCUAACUACGUG
rnacentral:rRNA from 1 species